AGCGAACGCUGGCGGCAGGCCUAACACAUGCAAGUCGAACGGAACCUUCGGGAUUAGUGGCGGACGGGUGAGUAACACGUGGGAACGUGCCCUUUGGUUCGGAACAACUCAGGGAAACUUGAGCUAAUACCGGAUGCGCCCUCCGGGGGAAAGAUUUAUCGCCAUUGGAGCGGGCCGCGUCUGUUUGGCUAGUUGUGGAGGUAACGCCUCACCAAGGCGUGGAGCAGUAGUUGGCUUGAGAGGAGGAUCAGCCACACUGGGACUGGGACACGGCCCAGACUCCUACGGGAGGCAGCGGUGGGGAAUCUAGCGCAAUGGGCGAAAGGCUGACGCAGCCAGGCCGCGUGAAUGAUGAAGGUCUUAGGAUUGUAAAAUUCUUUGAGCGAGGACGAUAAUGACGGUACCCGCAGAAGAAGCUCCGGCUAACUUCGUG
rnacentral:rRNA from 1 species